UACGUAGGGUGCAAGCGUUAAUCGGAAUUACUGGGCGUAAAGCGUGCGCAGGCGGUGAUGUAAGACAGAUGUGAAAUCCCCGGGCUUAACCUGGGAACUGCACUUGAAACUACGAUGCUGGAGUAUGGCAGAGGGAGGUGGAAUUCCACGUGUAGCGGUGAAAUGCGUAGAGAUGUGGAGGAACACCGAUGGCGAAGGCAGCCUCCUGGGCCAAUACUGACGCUCAUGCACGAAAGCGUGGGGAGCAAACAGG
rnacentral:rRNA from 1 species